rnacentral:rRNA from 1 species
UACGUAGGGUGCGAGCGUUAAUCGGAAUUACUGGGCGUAAAGCGUGCGCAGGCGGUUUUGUAAGCCAGAUGUGAAAUCCCCGGGCUUAACCUGGGAAUGGCAUUUGGGACUGCAAAGCUUGAGUGUGGCAGAGGAGACUGGAAUUCCUGGUGUAGCAGUGAAAUGCGUAGAGAUCAGGAGGAAUACCGAUGGCGAAGGCAGGUCCCUGGGCUGACACUGACGCUCAUGCACGAAAGCGUGGGGAGCAAACAGG